UACAGAGGUCCCAAGCGUUGUUCGGAUUCGCUGGGCGUAAAGGGUGCGUAGGCGGUCGGGUAAGUCUGAUGUGAAAUCUCACAGCUUAACUGUGAAACUGCAUUGGAUACUAUCCGGCUAGAGGAAUGGAGGGGAGACUGGAAUACUUGGUGUAGCAGUGAAAUGCGUAGAUAUCAAGUGGAACACCAGUGGCGAAGGCGAGUCUCUGGACAUUUCCUGACGCUGAGGCACGAAAGCCAGGGGAGCAAACGGG
rnacentral:rRNA from 1 species